rnacentral:rRNA from 1 species
UAGCGAAGGGGCUAGCGUUGCUCGGAAUCACUGGGCGUAAAGCGCACGUAGGCGGACUCUUAAGUCGGGGGUGAAAUCCUGGAGCUCAACUCCAGAACUGCCUUCGAUACUGAGAGUCUUCGAGUUCGGGAGAGGUGAGUGGAACUGCGAGUGUAGAGGUGAAAUUCGUAGAUAUUCGCAAGAACACCAGUGGCGAAGGCGGCGACCUGGGCCAAUAUUGACGCUGAGGUGCGAAAGCGUGGGAGCAAACAGGG